GGGAGCAAGCAUUAAAUUUUAAUUUCAGACUUUCAGUUAAUAGGUGAAGAAGGUCCCAGUUCUGAGCAUCAUAUCUGUGAACUUAAUAACCAGUCCUACAAUCAAUUACGUGCACACCAAAUUGCAAUUCCUUUCCCUUCUUGAAGCCAGGUAAUAUGAAAAAAUAAUGAAAUAAAAAAGGUAGGUGGUUUAAGUGGUUUAAUUAUAUUAGUACUUGCACAUUGUAGUUAACUGGUGAAUGAAGAUUCAUUCAAGCAUUCAAGGGGUAGUUUAUGGGUUUGGAUUGAGCUACCAAACAGUUGUGUAGCCCAACCAGGAAACUGGUUCUAAGUUCAAUAGCCACAGUAGAUUACUAGGACCCUCCUUUCCCUAAAAAAUUUAGUUAUUAAGCAUUUGCUAGGCCAUGUCCGUGAACCUGCACAACUUGGCUUGAAGAGUCUAAUAUGGUACCAUUCUUAAUUUAAAAAGGAAGAUUAAUGGAAGACUCUCAAGGAUCAAGAUGGCUGAUACAACUACAGCUUAAAAUAAAACUUUACAUAACAAACUAAGCUACUCAGUUCAUUUUACCACGCACCCACAAACUAGAAUACCGCAUUAUGGCAUUAUGUAUAGUACAUACGUUAUAUGAAAAUGAGAAACAACAACUAUCCGGAUGGACCGUAAAAGAAAAAUUAAAGGUGAUCAAUAACAAAGCAAACACAGAAUAGGAACUAGA
rnacentral:misc_RNA from 1 species